AUUGAACGCUGGCGGCAGGCCUAACACAUGCAAGUCGAGCGCGAAAAUUCCUUCGGGGAUGAGUAGAGCGGCGGACGGGUGAGUAAUGCGCAGAAAUCUGCCCAGGUAGUGGGGGACAACCUGGUGAAAACCAGGCUAAUACCGCAUACGCCCUACGGGGGAAAGCAGGGGAUCGUUCGGACCUUGCGCUAUUGGAUGAGUCUGCGUCGGAUUAGCUUGUUGGUGAGGUAAUGGCUCACCAAGGCGACGAUCCGUAGCUGGUCUGAGAGGAUGAUCAGCCACACUGGGACUGAGACACGGCCCAGACUCCUACGGGA
rnacentral:rRNA from 1 species